GCGUUGUUCGGAUUUACUGGGCGUAAAGGGCGCGUAGGCGGCGUGACAAGUCACUUGUGAAAUCUCUGAGCUUAACUCAGAACGGUCAAGUGAUACUGUUGUGCUAGAGUACAGAAAGGGCAAUCGGAAUUCUUGGUGUAGCGGUGAAAUGCGUAGAUAUCAAGAGGAACACCAGAGGCGAAGGCGGGUUGCUAGGCUGAUACUGACGCUGAGGCGCGAAAGCUAG
rnacentral:rRNA from 1 species